UUAAAUCUCUCAUCAGGCGAGUUGUGGCUUACAGGGAAAUCUGUCAGCGAGUUUCUCACAAAACAGAGUGACACACUGCAAAAUGUUCUGACCAUCCGGCGACUGAUAAGCGAGGUCUUAUAGCCCUUUCUCUCCAUUCAUCAUGCAGCUCCCAGGUGCUGAAUGCAGGUUUUAGAGUCUGAGGAAAGGGCAGCUAAGAUCCCUGCAGACCCCACACAUCCUGGACACAAACUGUUUGGACUUUUACCUCCAGGUCUGUGCUACACAGUGCUAUUUGCAACAACCAAAUGCCAUACAUGCAUUUUUUACUCUAUUAUCCAUGUCUUCCUUCUUGUAAAAACACUGUCUGUAUGCAGUGUUUUCACAAAACCUUUUCUUUUUCUUUUUAGAUAUUUACAUUUAAAAUGUUUUCAUUGAAAGAAAAGUCAAACAGAAGUCUAAUUCUAUUUCUGUGGACACAAACUCAACAAAUAAAGCUGAUUCUGUUUAAGUCUACAUAGUCACAAUGUACAUAAUUGUUUUGUCCAGGUGUAGAGGUUUGUGUGGUUCAAUACUACUCUGAGUUUAAAUUAUUCCAAGGUUCAUUUGCAGCCGUUGAACCUUGAGCACACCACUUUUACUCAUUACAUUGCUAUAACAUGAGCAAGCAGCCAAGACAGCUUUUGUUCAUUUUUAACUAAAAGCUGACAUAAAAGUGGUGUGUAACUUAUUUCCAUAUUUCUCUUGCAGUGGCAACAGGAAAUGACAUGCAUAUUAAUCUGAAGUAUCUAAUCUAAAGCAUUGUAGCUGUACUAGAAGAUCUUUACUGAAUCUAGGUACAUUCACCAGAGACGAUGUUUCUCACAGGAAGAUCAUGGGUGGCGCACCGCCUCCUACCUUCAUUUCCUGUGUAAAUAAUCAUCCUGUCCAAAAAGGACUAGUUUGUGUCCAUAAAAUACCCACAGUGGUGUUAUUUAAGUUUUACAGUUGGAGCUCAAAGUUCAGUUUAUUAUGGGGUUUGUCUCAGACUCGCCGUUAGCUUUAGCUUCCCUUUAAAUGACGUUGCUUUCUAUUUCCGCAUUGACAACAGAGACGUCAGUCAGCCUCCGGCGCCCGUUUCCAUCAAUCAGAAUCACAUCGACAUUACGUGCCGCAAAGUCAAACAGUUGUCCCCUCGCUGAACGAAUUGGCAGUCGAAGCAGACAGACGAGAUCGCAUGUCAGGAAUGCUAAUUCACUGGGAGGCUGGAUCUCGAGUGGUCGUGAUUAAAGACUCAAUUUCCCAGAGGUCAGUGUGGUGUGAUCACAUAUUACCGCUAACUGAUGGAGUGUCUCUGACACCUGCACUCCGAUGGCGAGCGGCGGCAUCACAACCUGUGGAAGCAGGAUGCCUGAUGGGAGUCCUGUCACACAUUAAGCCGCUGAGUUCUUAAGCAGCUGUGUUAUUCCAUCGUGCUCCUCCGUCAUGCCGUUGUUUAUGUACAAAAGCGUGAGGGAGAGCGGCUGCUGUUCGAGCGGCUUAGCCCCGAAAUGCUGCCAUCCAGCAUUAUCUUCACACAGCAGAAAGCCGCGUCACGCCUCACCCACAACGAGCGGACGGCUUUAUAAAGUGCCGCCUUUUAUGGCAGCUCUGUUGCUACAAUGUCAGUAUUUAAAUGCAAUUACUUUGAAUGUGUAUCUUAGUUAACCAGCGUCUUUCAGAAGCAGUCAGCUGUCAUUACUUCAGCAAGCUUCCCUGGAACAGUUACAUUUAAGAAAAUAUUGUGCAUCAUGAACCAGUUGAAUAUUUUUAAAAAGUGAGAUCAGUGUAUCAUUAGGAUUUACUACAAAUACAGUGAAAUAUUUCAAGCUUUUAUUUUGAUGAUUGUGGCUCCCAUAGUGAAAACCCAAAAUUCAGUCUCAGAAAAUUUGAAUAGUGUCAAUUUUAGCAAUACUGCACAUAAAAAUUACAGUU